AGUCUGUAAAUUUACCAUAAAAAUUGCGCCUCCGUUAUCGGUACCUCGGGCUAUGGUUUCCUGUCUUUUCUCUGCUACACUGGGAAAGUUACAAGAUUCGAAAAAUACUUUCAGGCUUGUUAUCAGCGUGUUUUCCUUCUAGUAUUUUCCGGAGGAUGUCAAUUUCAGAGGCAAACUUUUCAGCAGUUUUCCCUAUAUGCACUGUUAGAGCAAUUUUAGUCUUUAUUACAUCGGAUGCUUUACAACAUUGCCGUAAUAGAGUUUUCGCCUAUAGAGUUUAAUCCUGAGAGUUUUCGACUUAAUUACUUUAAGAGCGUGGCGUUGAAAUGGCCUUUGGGCAAGACAACCAAAUUGACAGAUGUGACUUUAAUCUACCUGAUAUUUCUUGGUCUCCUCCUACUGACUCAUUUGUCGCUAUGCCGUUAUCCGCCCAUGAUCUUGUGAAUGGCCUUUUAGAUUUAUCGUUACAGCAAACCCGUCUGAAAUCACGAUAAUCGACGUUUCUAAAUUUAUACUCUUCUCAGUAGAACAAUUUUCGUCUAUUGGACAAUCAUCAAUUAUUUUAAAAAAAAGUAAAAACCUUUGCAAUGUUUUACCUGUUAACUUGAAUUCAACGUUAAAACAAAAGGCUUGGAAAUCACUUGUUUUACUUGGAACGACAUGGAUGUCAUCCCUAAACGCUAGGAGCUACUUGACCCUGUUGGAAAAUUUGUCGAACAUAUUUACAUUUUGCUUGUGAAAUUGAUAUAAUCUGACAUUAAAUUUAAAAAUAGUGCUGCAAAACACUCAACAGCAUGAUUUGUGUUUUUACUCUGUAUUAUUAGGCGACUACUUUUUGUGGGUCUCGCGUGUGUCUUUAAUUUUUAAAAUUCAAUGAAACGCUUAGAUACAUUAUUUAAGUAAAUAUUACUGACUAAAAUUGUAGAACUAUUUUCUUAUAAAAUAGCAUCCUCUUUAUUUAAAUUAUUCUUGCGUUUUUUAAUGUACACUUUACUAUUAAACAAAUUUUACUAAACAGUUAUACUAAUUAUACUUUAUAAAACCUAUAUAUAUAUACAUCACUUUAUAAAACCAUGCACCUAAAAAUACUAUGCUUAAGGACAAGGAAAAAAAGGUGAUUGAUGCGUUGCAAUUGUCGAUAUCGUGACAGAAUUCUUUUGAAUUACAGAAAAUCUUGGUAGAAUCGGUUCUAAACGCAGACCAAAUAAUAAACUCUCAUCUUUAGGCGCAUAAUCCUACAUAUGUAAAAUAAAAUUGUUAAAUAAAUAUUUAUAUAUAUAUGUAAGUUAACAACCAACUUCCAGCUUAGGCUGAGCAGGCCAAUUCUUAUUUCCUUUAUUAAUAUUAAUCAUUUAUCAAUGUUUAUCAUUUUCUAGUAUUAUUAAUUUUUUAUUAUAAUUAUUAGUAUUACACUUUUACCUCAUGCAUGGUCCACCCUAAAUUGAGUCCACCUUAUUGGCCCUAGAGCUGAGCCAGCACAUUGUACCAUUCCGAGCCGUGGCUUCUUUUCAUUGUCUGACAGCGAUCGUAUGAAUUCUGCAAAAUGUGCAAGGUUAUCGGUCUGCCACGGGCA